rnacentral:rRNA from 1 species
AUUGAACGCUGGCGGCAGGCUUAACACAUGCAAGUCGAGCGAGCGGCGGACGGGUGAGUAAUGUCUGGGAAACUGCCUGAUGGAGGGGGAUAACUACUGGAAACGGUAGCUAAUACCGCAUACCAUCAGAUGUGCCCAGAUGGGAUUAGCUAGUAGGUGGGGUAAUGGCUCACCUAGGCGACGAUCCCUAGCUGGUCUGAGAGGAUGACCCGCCACACUGGAACUGAGCAACGGGCCAGACUCCUAAGGGAGGCAGCAUGGGGGAAUUUUUCAAAAUUGGCGCAAGCCUGAUGCAGCCAUGCCGCGGGUGUGAAGAAGGCCUUCGGGUUGGUAAGCAACUUCAGCGAGGAGGCGUUACCCGCAGAAGAAGCAACGGCCUACUCCGUGCCAGCAGCCGCGGUAAUAC